rnacentral:rRNA from 1 species
AACGAACGCUGGCGGCAUGCCUAACACAUGCAAGUCGAACGAGACCUUCGGGUCUAGUGGCGCACGGGUGCGUAACGCGUGGGAACCUGCCCUUAGGUUCGGAAUAACUCCCCGAAAGGGGUGCUAAUACCGGAUAAUGUCUUCGGACCAAAGAUUUAUCGCCUUUGGAUGGGCCCGCGUUGGAUUAGCUAGUUGGUAGGGUAAAAGCCUACCAAGGCGACGAUCCAUAGCUGGUCUGAGAGGAUGAUCAGCCACACUGGGACUGAGACACGGCCCAGACCCCUACGGGAGGCAGCAGGGGGGAAUAUUGGACAAUGGGCGAAAGCCUGAUCCAGCAAGGCCGCGGGAGUGAUGAAGGCCUUAGGGUUGUAAAGCUCUUUUACCCGGGAUGAUAAGGACAGGACCGGGAGAAUAAGCCCCGGCUAACCCCGU